rnacentral:rRNA from 1 species
CACGUAGGGGGCAAGCGUUGUCCGGAUUUAUUGGGCGUAAAGAGCUCGUAGGUGGUUCGGUAAGUCGGGUGUGAAACCUCCAGGCUCAACCUGGAGACGCCACCCGAUACUGCUGUGACUGGAGUCCGGUAGGGGAGCGUGGAAUUCCUGGUGUAGCGGUGAAAUGCGCAGAUAUCAGGAGGAACACCAGCGGCGAAGGCGGCGCUCUGGGCCGGUACUGACGCUGAGGAGCGAAAGCGUGGGGAGCGAACAGG